AUUGAACGCUGGCGGCAUGCCUUACACAUGCAAGUCAACGGCAGCUCGGGUGCUUGCACCUGGUGGCGAGUGGCGAACGGGUGAGUAAUACAUCGGAACGUACCUUAUCGUGGGGGAUAACGCAGCGAAAGCUGUGCUAAUACCGCAUACGCCCUGAGGGGGAAAGCGGGGGAUCGAAAGACCUCGCGCGAUUAGAGCGGCCGAUGCCUGAUUAGCUUGUUGGUGGGGUAAAAGCCCACCAAGGCGACGAUCAGUAGCUGGUCUGAGAGGACGAUCAGCCACACUGGGACUGAGACACGGCCCAGACUCCUACGGGAGGCAGCAGUGGGGAAUUUUGGACAAUGGGGGCAACCCUGAUCCAGCAAUGCCGCGUGAGUGAAGAAGGCCUUCGGGUUGUAAAGCUCUUUUGUCAGGGAAGAAACACCGGCUCUAACACAGUCCGGGAAUGACGGUACCUGAAGAAUAAGCACCGGCUAACUACGUGCCAGCCGCCGCGGUAA
rnacentral:rRNA from 1 species